AAGUCAGGUGAGCUUAAGGAAAGGUCAGGAGAAAGAGCACUGAAGACUUGGGGAAAUUCAAUAGCAGGCAAGAUCUCCUCUUCUGCUUUAUUCAGUUUAAUGGAAGUGUAAAUAGCUGGACUCACCUCCUCCAGGCCAGACUUUUCAUGACCUAAAACUAAACUGCUGGAUCAGCAGCAGCUGACAGAGCCACUGGAUCCAUCAGCAAGGAUAUGCAGCCAGUCACUGGGAUAACAACUUUUGACAGAAAGUCACCCUGGUGUUGUCACUUGAAUCAAGAACUGAGGGAGCUGCUCUUGAAGUGUACAGGCCACUGUGUUUUCCUUCUUCAUAUCUGCCACAGAUGUGCCUUCCUCAGCUUCUGAAAUCAGCAGUUCAGCCCAACAUUGCUUCCUGACAGGCCCCCAGCACCCAGACCUGUGGUGCUGCUGGGAGAAGUCCUGCUCUUAGCAG